rnacentral:tRNA from 1 species
ACCUGGGUGGCUCAGCUGGUUAAGCAUCUGACUUCAGCUCAGGUCAUGUUCUCACGGUUUGUGGGUUUGAGCCCCACAUCGGGCU